rnacentral:rRNA from 1 species
CGAACGUAAAAUAGACUGUAGGUGAAAGCUUACAUCUCUUCGGAGCAUUUUACGAGGUGCUGCAUGGUUGUCGUCAGCUCGUGCCGUGAGGUGUCGGGUUAAGUCCCAUAACGAGCGCAACCCUACCUUUAGUUGCCAUCAGGUAAUGCUGGGGACUCUAAAGGAACUGCCUACGCAAGUAGUGAGGAAGCGGGGAUGACGUCAAAUCAGCACGGCCCUUACGUCCAGGGCUACACACGUGCUACAAUGGCCGAUACAGAGAGCAGCUACCUGGUGACAGGAUGCAAAUCUCCAAAGUCGGUCUCAGUUCGGAUCGGAGUCUGCAACCCGACUCCGUGAAGUUGGAUUCGCUAGUAAUCGCGCAUCAGCCAUGGCGCGGUGAAUACGUUCCCGGGCCUU